rnacentral:rRNA from 1 species
GGACAGAUUUAGAGCUUGCUUUAAAUCUGUUAGUGGCGGACGGGUGAGUAACGCGUGGGUAACCUGCCUUAAACAGAGGGAUGGCAAGUGGAAACGCUUGGUAAUACCACAUAAAGCCUAAGCAUUGCAUAAUGAAUAGGUGAAAGGAGGAAUCCGGUUUAAGAUGGGCCCGCGUCCAAUUAGCUAGUUGGUGAGGUAAGAGCGCACCAAGGCGACGAUUGGUAGCCGAACUGAGAGGUUGAGCGGCCACAUUGGGACUGAGAUACGGCCCAGACUCCUACGGGAGGCAGCAGUGGGGAAUAUUGCGCAAUGGGGGGAACCCUGACGCAGCGACGCCGCGUGAAGGAAGAAGGUCUUCGGAUUGUAAACUUCUUUGAUUAGGGAAGAGGAAGGACGGUACCUAAAGAACAAGCCACGGCUAACUGCGUGCCAGCAGCCGCGGUAAUACGUAGGUGGCAAGCGUUGUCCGGAAUUACUGGGUGUAAAGGGCGAGUAGGUGGAUCACUAAGUCAGAGGUGAAAACCCAUGGCUAAACUGUGGGAUAGCAACUGAAACUAGAGAUCUUGAGUACUGGAGAGGGAAGCGGAAUUCCUAGUGUAGCGGUGAAAUGCGUAGAUAUUAGGAGGAACACCAGUGGCGAAGGCGGCUUCCUGGACAGAGACUGACACUGAGGCGCGAAAGCGUGGGGAGCGAACAGGAUUAGAUACCCUGGUAGUCCACGCUGUAAACGAUGGAUACUAGGUGUAGGUGGUAAGAAACCAUCUGUGCCGGAGUAAACACAAUAAGUAUCCCACCUGGGGAGUACAGCCGCAAGGUUGAAACUCAAAGGAAUUGACGGGGGCCCGCACAAGCAGUGGAGUAUGUGGUUUAAUUCGAAGCAACGCGAAGAACCUUACCAGGGCUUGACAUCCCUUGAACUAUCUAGAGAUAGGUAGGGCCUACGGGACAAGGAGACAGGUGGUGCAUGGUUGUCGUCAGCUCGUGUCGUGAGAUGUUGGGUUAAGUCCCGCAACGAGCGCAACCCU